GACGAACGCUGGCGGCGUGCUUAACACAUGCAAGUCGAACGGAGAGGCCCUGCUUUUGUGGGGUGCUCGAGUGGCGAACGGGUGAGUAACACGUGAGUAACCUGCCCUUGACUUUGGGAUAACUUCAGGAAACUGGGGCUAAUACCGGAUAGGAGCUCCUGCUGCAUGGUGGGGGUUGGAAAGUUUCGGCGGUUGGGGAUGGACUCGCGGCUUAUCAGCUUGUUGGUGGGGUAGUGGCUUACCAAGGCUUUGACGGGUAGCCGGCCUGAGAGGGUGACCGGCCACAUUGGGACUGAGAUACGGCCCAGACUCCUACGGGAGGCAGCAGUGGGGAAUAUUGCACAAUGGGCGGAAGCAUGAUGCAGCAACGCCGCGUGCGGGAUGACGGCCUUCGGGUUGUAAACCGCUUUCGCCUGUGACGAAGCGUGAGUGACGGUAAUGGGUAAAGAAGCACCGGCUAACUACGUG
rnacentral:rRNA from 1 species